rnacentral:rRNA from 1 species
GAUGAACGCUGGCGGCGUGCCUAAUACAUGCAAGUCGAGCGAACGGACGAGAAUCUUGCUUCUCUGAUGUUAGCGGCGGACGGGUGAGUAACACGUGGAUAACCUACCUAUAAGACUGGGAUAACUUCGGGAAACCGGAGCUAAUACCGGAUAAUAUUUUGAACCGCAUGGUUCAAAAGUGAAAGACGGUCUUGCUGUCACUUAUAGGUGGAUCCGCGCUGCAUUAGCUAGUUGGUAAGGUAACGGCUUACCAAGGCAACGAUGCAUAGCCGAUCUGAGAGGGUGAUCAGCCACACUGGAACUGAGACACGGUCCAGACUCCUACGGGAGGCAGCAGUGGGGAAUCUUCCGCAAUGGGCGAAAGCCUGAUGGAGCAACGCCGCGUGAGUGAUGAAGGUCUUCGGAUCGUAAAACUCUGUUAUUAGGGAAGAACAUAUGUGUAAGUAACUGUGCACAUCUUGACGGUACCUAAACAGAAAGCCACGGCUAACUACGUG